GGGGAAUUUUCCGCAAUGGGCGAAAGCCUGACGGAGCAAUACCGCGUGAGGGAGGAAGGCUCUUGGGUCGUAAACCUCUUUUCUCAGGGAAGAACACAAUGACGGUACCUGAGGAAUAAGCAUCGGCUAACUCCGUGCCAGCAGCCGCGGUAAUACGGAGGAUGCAAGCGUUAUCCGGAAUGAUUGGGCGUAAAGCGUCCGCAGGUGGCGAUGUAAGUCUGCUGUUAAAGAGUGAGGCUCAACCUCAUAAGAGCAGUGGAAACUACAUAGCUAGAGUACGUUCGGGGCAGAGGGAAUUCCUGGUGUAGCGGUGAAAUGCGUAGAGAUCAGGAAGAACACCAGUGGCGAAGGCGCUCUGCUAGGCCGUAACUGACACUGAGGGACGAAAGCUAGGGGAGCGAAUGGGAUCAGAUACCCCAGUAGUCCUAGCCGUAAACGAUGGAUACUAGGCGUGGCUUGUAUCGACCCGAGCCGUGCCGUAGCUAGCGCGUUAAGUAUCCCGCCUGGGGAGUACGCCGGCAACGGUGAAACUCAAAGGAAUUGACGGGGGCCCGCACAAGCGGUGGAGUAUGUGGUUUAAUUCGAUGCAACGCGAAGAACCUUACCAAGGCUUGACAUGUCGCGAAUCCUGGUGAAAGCUGGGAGUGCCUUCGGGAGCGCGAACACAGGUGGUGCAUGGCUGUCGUCAGCUCGUGUCGUGAGAUGUUGGGUUAAGUCCCGCAACGAGCGCAACCCUCGUUUUUAGUUGCCAGCAUUAAGUUGGGCACUCUAGAGAGACUGCCGGUGACAAACCGGAGGAAGGUGGGGAUGACGUCAAGUCAGCAUGCCCCUUACGCCUUGGGCUACACACGUACUACAAUGCUCCGGACAGAGGGCAGCAAGCAUGCGAAUGCAAGCAAAUCCCGUAAACCGGAGCUCAGUUCAGAUCGCAGGCUGCAACUCGCCUGCGUGAAGGAGGAAUCGCUAGUAAUUGCAGGUCAGCAUACUGCAGUGAAUUCGUUCCCGGGCCUUGUACACACCGCCCGUCACACCAUGGAAGCUGGUAGUGCCCGAAGUCAUUACUCCAACCCUUAGGGGGGGAGGAUGCCUAAGGCAGGACUGGUGACUGGGGUGAAGUCGUAACAAGGUAGCCGUACCGGAAGGUGUGGCUGGAUCACCUCCUU
rnacentral:rRNA from 1 species